GACGAACGCUGGCGGCGUGCUUAACACAUGCAAGUCGAACGGAAAGGCCCCCUUGUGGGGUACUCGAGUGGCGAACGGGUGAGUAACACGUGAGUAACCUACCCUUGACUUUGGGAUAACUUCAGGAAACUGGGGCUAAUACCGGAUAGGAGCUCCUGCUGCAUGGUGGGGGUUGGAAAAUUUCGGCGGUUGGGGAUGGACUCGCGGCUUAUCAGCUUGUUGGUGGGGUAGUGGCUCACCAAGGCUUUGACGGGUAGCCGGCCUGAGAGGGUGACCGGCCACAUUGGGACUGAGAUACGGCCCAGACUCCUACGGGAGGCAGCAGUGGGGAAUAUUGCACAAUGGGCGGAAGCCUGAUGCAGCAACGCCGCGUGCGGGAUGACGGCCUUCGGGUUGUAAACCGCUUUCGCCUGUGACGAAGCGUGAGUGACGGUAAUGGGUAAAGAAGCACCGGCUAACUACGUG
rnacentral:rRNA from 1 species